rnacentral:rRNA from 1 species
UGCCAUCAUUUAGUUGGGUACUCUAAAGGAACCGCCGGUGAUAAGCCGGAGGAAGGUGGGGAUGACGUCAAGUCCUCAUGGCCCUUACGCGUUGGGCUACACACGUGCUACAAUGGCGACUACAGUGGGCAGCCACCUCGCGAGAGGGAGCUAAUCUCCAAAAGUCGUCUCAGUUCGGAUCGUUCUCUGCAACUCGAGAGCGUGAAGGCGGAAUCGCUAGUAAUCGCGGAUCAGCAUGCCGCGGUGAAUACGUUCCCAGGCCUUGUACACACCGCCCGUCACACCAUGGGAGUUGGAUUCACUCGAAGGCGUUGAGCUAACCGCAAGGAGGCAGGCGACCACAGUGGGUUUAGCGACUGGGGUGAAGUCGUAACAAGGUA